rfam:Ixodes scapularis strain Wikel colony gcontig_1108378566166, whole genome shotgun sequence.
GCCCGGCUAGCUCAGUCGGUAGAGCAUGAGACUCUUAAUCUCAGGGUCGUUGGUUCGGGCAACACGUUGGGCA